UGCCCCAUGGCUGAGUUGGUUACAGCGUCCGACUGUUAAGUGUGCAAUCGGAAGGUCGUGAGUUCGAGCCUCACUGGGGCAG